rnacentral:sRNA from 1 species
CUGCGGAAGGAUCAUUACCGAAUUGUCAACAAGGGUUGUUGCUGGCCCCUGCAUGGGGGCAUGUGCACACUCUGUUUACACAUCCACUCACACCUGUGCACCCUCUGUAGUUCUAUGUGCCUGGGGGCCUUGUCCUCCUGCCGUGGUUCUACGUCUUUACACACACACAUUGAAAUGAAGUCUAAUGGAAUGUAUGUCGCGUUUAACGCAAUGAAAUACAACUUUCAGCAACGGAUCUCUUGGCUCUCGCAUCGAUGAAGAACGCAGCGAAAUGCGAUAAGUAAUGUGAAUWGCAGAAUUCAGUGAAUCAUCGAAUCUUUGAACGCACCUUGCGCCCUUUGGCUAUUCCGAAGGGCAUGCCUGUUUGAGUAUCAUGAACACCUCAACUCUCAUGGCUCGCCGUGAUGAGCUUGGACUUUGGGGGUCUUGCUGGCCUGUGGUCGGCUCCUCUCAAAUGAAUUAGCCUGCCGGUGUUUGGUGGGAUCACAGGUGUGAUAACUAUCUACGCUUGUGGUUUUCCACCAGGUAACCCUCAGCAAUGGAGGUUCACUGGAGCUUAUAAACGUCUCUCCUCAGCGAGGACAGGUUUUGACCAUUUGAUCUCAAAUCAGGUAGGACUACCCGCUGAACUUAAGCAUAUCAAUAAGCGGAGGA